rnacentral:sRNA from 1 species
GGGAGACCCUAUUAUCUUCAUUUUCCCAAUGAGAUGAGAAUCCCAAGCAGCACAUUCCCCUGGAGGAGUAUGCUGCGAAUUUAAAGAGCAUGGUGCAGUACCUGAAGUCUGUGGACAUCCCUGAGAAUCGAGUCAUUCUCAUCACGCCGACCCCACUUUGUGAAACAGCCUGGGAAAAACAGUGCAUCAUACAAGGUUGCAAACUAAAUCGCCUGAACUCUGUUGUUGGUGAAUAUGCCAAUGCGUGUUUACAAGUGGCCCAAGACUGUGGGACUGACGUACUUGACCUGUGGGCCCUGAUGCAGGACGGCCAGGACUUCUCAUCUUAUUUAUCAGAUGGACUACAUUUGUCUCCAAAGGGGAAUGAAUUUUUGUUCUCGCAUCUCUGGCCUUUGAUAGAGAAAAAGGUCUCUUCUCUGCCUUUGCUGCUUCCUUACUGGCGGGAUGUAGCAGAAGCAAAACCUGAAUUAAGUCUGCUGGGAGAUGGAGACCAUUAGCCAAUCACAGGAGACCCAAAUCUGCUUGUUAUCUACAGAACUCAAAGUUGUCAAUACAUAGAGGUACGCUUUUUUCCUCAAGCUGAAACCUUUGCCACUGAUAUUAAUAAUAAAAGUAUUAGAUUUUUUUCAGGGAAGUUUUAUACUUAGGUCCAUUGUGUUUUG